rnacentral:ncRNA from 2 species
AUCCAUAGCUAGGGGUGCCUGAGCAACCAGGCUGAGAUUACACCCUUUGCACCUGAGUCCGGUUAAUACCGGCGGAGGGAAGCUCUUAAUAGAGGGA